GAGCUCUGGUGGGAGGUCUACUCUGAGAACUUGGGAGGGCAAACACCUGAGCAAAACUGGGGCUCUGUCAGCUCUGAUGGCCAGGAACAGCCCAAGGCCAACCGUGAGCAAUUAACUCCAUCUGCCACAUGGACUCACCUUGCUAUAGCUAAGAGAAGGGAUCAUUGCAGGUCCAUCACCCACUAGAUGACGAAUAAUGAGGAAUAAAAAAAGAUUUCUUUUAGAAGAGAUUUGAUUUCUAUUUUAAUCCUCUAAUUCCCCGUAAAAACUGGAAAAUACCUUAUAAACUUCAGCUCGAGUGCUAAAUUAGUUAAACAAGGAGACCAUUAGACUGAGGUGGCUCUAACGUCAUGGUGGCCUAUUUCUCCUGUCAGAAGAGGGAACCAAAGGAGACCCCCGACAGCCCCAGGAACAACAGCAAUGGAGCAUAGAAUUUGUCAGCAAGAAAGUUAACUUAAGAUGAUGGUUAGCCAUUUAAUGUCUCAUGAAAUUUUCAUGGCUAACUCAACAUAAUUUUUAAGAACAAGUAAAUUAAAUAGAUAAUCACUAAGGACGAAGACUGCUCUUGAACUUCCUUGGAAGGGACCACACAAGGUCCUCCUCACUACCCAGACGGCAGCCAACCUUCAGGGUCUUAAACCUUAGGUUCACAUCCCUCAAUUAAAAAGGGCUCCUCCAGACUCUUGGAAGCGCACACCAGCUGGAGACCUAAAAUUAAAAUUGACUAGAGAGGUUCCUCCCCAGAAGCAGACGGCGUCUUGAGGUGGACAGCUCUCCCAAGAUCAUGGAUCAAGACCUUCAUCUUCAAUAUGAAACCUUUAUUCCUUUUGCCUUUCUGCUAUUUGUUUUUUUCUCUUAACGCAUGGGAAGACAGUGCUCCUUAACUCUGGCAACUAUCACUGAAUGUACUGCUAAAGGCCAUAGUUACAUAACAAAAGUCCCUCGACUUUCUUGCUAAGGUAGUUUUAGAUAAUAGAAUUGCUUUAAUUACUUCUAGCUGAACAUGGAGUCUGUGCCAUAGCAAAUAGCUCCUGCUGUACCUGGAUCAACGCCUCUAGUAUUGUAGCAAAUACAGGAAAUUAACAAAAAAGCCACUUGGCUAAAACAGGUUGAUGCCUCUUCAGGUACAUUCUUUGAUUUAUUUGAUACCAAUUGGCUUGGUUCCUGGGGGCCCUAAGUCUGUUGGUAUUAUCCUCCUAAUAGUUGUCAUUGUAAUCUCCCUUGUGCACUAUGUUCUCUCAGAGAUCUUAAAUGCAUGUUCACAGCCAUCAGCAGUACAUCAGGUGGGCUCAUCGUGCCUGGACAAACAGAAACGAGAUGAACGGCAAAAAACAAUUCUUCCAUGGCUCUGACAUCAUAACCUAUGAGUUUCACAAUGAGACAAGAGCAACUUAACUCUGAUGGUGACUGAGAUUGGCACUAACAUCAAAUUUUUGGUCAAUCUCUCAUGUAUGAAAUGAUGACCAAAAGAGGGGAAUUGUUAAUUAAGCAAGGAGGCCAUUAGACUGAGGUGGCUCUAAUGCUGUGGUGGCCUAUGUAAACAAACCAAAAUCUAAGCCUCUAAAUGCCUCGAGGUUACAAAAUCAAAACUCUAAGGACCACCAAUCACAAACAGCCAACCAGACUUGAAGCUAUAGUCAAUCAAUAAUUUCCUUACUUCUGCCUCUUCUCUAUAAAAGUCUGCCUGAGCUCCUGACAGUGAAGCACUCCUAGCCACCUCGUUUGGCACUGCCAGAUUCCAACAGAUGUUUGCUCAAAUAAACUCAAAAAUUUUAAUACACUUUAGUUUAUUGUUUAACAAGUGACUUCCUCUCUGGAGCUUUUUACGACACUCUCCCUCCUCCUCGGGGGAUGUAAGCACUUGUGUCUGCUCUCUUCUAAACCGGCUUUAUCAGAGCACGUAUGAGGCUUGCACUUGCUUGCAUGCUCCUCUGCCCCUCCUGAAAUGUGUCCUCUUUGAGGCCGGGGACAAUAUCUGUAUUCUAUUCUGUGUGUUUAGGAUCUAGCACACAGGAGGCUCAAUAAAUAUUUGUUGAAUGAAUGAAUGGGGGAGGAGAAAUGAUCCAGAAAUGCCUAAUAUUAAUAACAAGCAUUUACCCAGGACUAAUUAUACGGCAGGCAUUACACAAAGGCAUGUAUGCUGAAUGGACUGAUUUAUUCCUAAGACAGCCCUAUGAAGUAGGAGCCACUAUUAUCUUCACUUUAAAUUUAAGAAAAGUACAUCACAGUGAGGCUAAUCACUUGUCUAAGGUCACAAACUAGGAAGUGACAAGUGUGGCACUGGAUCCCAGAGCCCAUCAUGUUCUUUGCCUUUACACAGAGAGGGAAAAGGAUGCUCCACCCGCAUUAGAGGUGGAGACCUCUCUAGAGGGCCCUAAUCCAGGGGAGAGCUGCAAGGGGUGCUGCCAUUGGUGGGAUUUGUAGCUUUUAGGAUCCUGAAGGCUUUUGCAUUCUUGGACAUUUUACGGGGACAGGGAAAAAAGCAUUUCUCAAGGACUUAAGAAGGGAUGGCAAUGGAGAGAAACAAAAGAUAGCAUCUAAGGUUUUGCUCUAAAAGGUUAGAAUCUGGAGAGAAAACCUCCAUUCACUGGCAAGAAAAGUAAAAACACUAACGCUGGGGCUGGCCCCCUGGCCGAGUGGUUAAGUUUGUGCUCUCUGCUUCACGGCCCAGGGUUGUUGGUUCGGAUCCUGGGUGCAGACCUGCACACCACUCCUGAAGCCAUGCUGUGACAGCAUCCCACACAGAAGAACUAGAACGACUUACAACUAGUAUAUGCAAC
ensembl:lncRNA